AAAAACAAAUUAUCAGAAUCUAAAUUUUAAAAACGAGCUGAUACUGCUGAUUGGUGUACCACUGAUGUACGUAGAAAGUUGAGAAUAGAGGAUACAUAAAGUUAUUUAAUUUAUACAUAUAGGCAACGAUAAACCAUUGCUAAUGAAAAAUGAUUCAGAGGAAACUUCAGUAGUACAUGUUUUGAAAAGCCGUAAUAUGACGAUUUUCGACGAAAUUUGAUAUUAAAGUAUUAAAAAAAUUCAAGAAUACUACACUAUACUCAACUUGUUACUGAUAAAUGCAAUUUAAAACGAAUGUCCAGUAAAACUGUCUAGCAUUUCUUUUUGGUCAACCAAUUUUAUCUACAGGGUACCUA